CGCCUUAUACUCCUACGGGAGGCAGCAGUGGGGAAUUUUGGACAAUGGGGGCAACCCUGAUCCAGCAAUGCCGCGUGUGUGAAGAAGGUCUUCGGAUUGUAAAGCACUUUAAGUUGGGAGGAAGGGCAGUAAGCUAAUACCUUGCUGUUUUGACGUUACCGACAGAAUAAGCACCGGCUAACUACGUGCCAGCAGCCGCGGUAAUACGUAGGGUGCAAGCGUUAAUCGGAAUUACUGGGCGUAAAGCGUGCGCAGGCGGUUGUGUAAGUCAGAUGUGAAAUCCCCGGGCUCAACCUGGGAAUUGCAUUUGAGACUGCACGGCUAGAGUGUGUCAGAGGGGGGUAGAAUUCCACGUGUAGCAGUGAAAUGCGUAGAUAUGUGGAGGAAUACCGAUGGCGAAGGCAGCCCCCUGGGAUAACACUGACGCUCAUGCACGAAAGCGUGGGGAGCAAACAGGAUUAGAUACCCGAGUAGUCCACGUACCA
rnacentral:rRNA from 1 species